CCUGGGAGGUGGAGGUUGCAGUGAGCUGAGAUCACUCCAUUGCAUUCCAGCCUGGGCGACAAGAGCAAAACUCUGUCUCAAAAAAAAAAAAAAAUAAGUAGCACAUUUCAUCAUCAAAUGCUUUUGCUGCAUCUGCUGAGCCAUAUGGAGGGUGUUUUUUUUUUCCCUCCCCGCUCCCCUUAACCUCCUUUAAUGUAAUCUCUGA
rnacentral:lncRNA from 1 species